UAAGAUUGCAUAAACAGUGAUAUUAAAUUAUUUAACUUUUAUGUGUGUGCAAAAUCUAGAGACGUUCUUUAAAAGUUUAAUUUUUAACUUGAGUGCCGUCACGUGGAUCAUCCCAGUAGAGCCACAUGGAGGAUCAUCUUAAAAGGAGCUUUUGAAGUUACCAGAGAAAGGAGCGCGGACUGUAGCAAAUUACCUGGGCUGAAACAUUUUUGACAUAAGUCCUAAGAUGCGAGUGAGCCACUUCUCCUGGAGGCCCCAUCGGGAGCGUUUAAUCUCGGGCCAUGAGAGGCAGCAUUGCUGACAGAGUGACAGGAUAGCUGGACACGCUUCCAGGCGGCAGUCACGGACACGACAGUCUUCGGAGCCGAGACUUAAGCACCAUGAUGAUGGCAGCAGGGGGCAGCUGAAAGGGCUUGGAGUUGGCAGAGAUGCAGCAUGGACUGACAGGCAGGCACUCGCUGGUGACAGAGCACCGGAGCUUCUGUCUCUUUGAAGUUAAGGGAGCUUUGUGGGAAAAGCCUGCUGUGGAGAAUCAAAGACAUCUAUGAUGCCAUUUCAAAUGCUCACGGACACCCCAAAACAUUUAUUUUUCAUAUGGAAAUGGAUGUAUAGCACAUGAAUAAAUUAUAGA